CUUUGAAGAAGCUCAAGACUCUCGAUGCCUCUUAUUGUGCAUCGUUAGCUCGCAUACCCAAUUCAAUAGGCGAUUUAGCAUCUCUGUCUCACCUUGACCUAACGAACUGCAAAGAACUUGAUCAACUUCCAAACUCCAUAGGCUCCCUCAUGUCUCUACAGCAAUUGUUAUUAUCAGGAUGCUGCUCAUUGAGACAAAUCCCAGACUCGAUCGGAAGGUUGACAUCAAUGACUAGGCUGCAUUUGGAAUCUUCGGCCAUUGAAAAAUUACCUGAAUCCAUUGGAUCUUUGAAGAAGCUCAAGACUCUCAAUGCCUCUUAUUGUGCAUCGUUAGCUCGCAUACCCAAUUCAAUAGGCGAUUUAGCAUCUCUGUCUCACCUUGACCUAACGGACUGCAAAGAACUUGAUCAACUUCCAAACUCCAUAGGCUCCCUCAUGUCUCUACAGCAAUUGUUAUUGUCAGGAUGCUGCUCAUUGAGACAAAUCCCAGACUCGAUCGGAAAGUUGACAUCAAUGACUAAGUUGCAU
rnacentral:lncRNA from 1 species